GACGAACGCUGGCGGCGUGCCUAAUACAUGCAAGUAGAACGCUGAAGGAGGAGCUUGCUUCUCUGGAUGAGUUGCGAACGGGUGAGUAACGCGUAGGUAACCUGCCUGGUAGCGGGGGAUAACUAUUGGAAACGAUAGCUAAUACCGCAUAAGAGUAGAUGUUGCAUGACAUUUGCUUAAAAGGUGCAAUUGCAUCACUACCAGAUGGACCUGCGUUGUAUUAGCUAGUUGGUGGGGUAACGGCUCACCAAGGCGACGAUACAUAGCCGACCUGAGAGGGGGAUCGGCCACACUGGGACUGAGACACGGCCCAGACUCCUACGGGAGGCAGCAGGAGGGAAUCUUCGGCAAUGGACGGAAGUCUGACCGGGCAACGCCGCGUGAGUGAAGAAGGUUUUCGGAUCGGAAAGCUCUGUUGUAAGAGAAGAACGAGUGUGAGAGUGGAAAGUUCACACUGUGACGGUAUCUUACCAGAAAGGGACGGCUAACUACGUG
rnacentral:rRNA from 1 species